CUUGGUUCAGGAUGAACGCUGGCGGCGUGCUUAAUACAUGCAAGUCGAACGAAGCACUUUGACAGAUCCCCUCGGGGUGACGAUGAUUGUGACUAGUGGCGGACGGGUGAGUAACGCGUGGGCAACCUGCCUCAUGCUGGGGGAUAACAGUUAGAAAUGACUGCUAAUACCGCAUAAGCGCACGGUAAGGCAUCUUACAGUGUGAAAAGAUUUAUCGGCAUGAGAUGGACCCCGCGUCUGAUUAGGUAGUUGGUGGGGUAACGGCCUACCAAGCCGACGAUCAGUAGCCGACUUGAGAGAGUGAUCGGCCACAUUGGGACUGAGACACGGCCCAGACUCCUACGGGAGGCAGCAGUAGGGAAUAUUGCACAAUGGGGGGAAACCCUGAUGCAGCGAACCGCCGCGUGAGUGAUGAAGUAUUUCGGUACGUAAAGCUCUAUCAGCAGGGAAGAUGAUGACGGUACCUGACUAAGAAGCCCCGGCUAACUACGUGCCAGCAGCCGC
rnacentral:rRNA from 1 species